rnacentral:tRNA from 1 species
CGGGGAGUGGCGCAGCUUGGUAGCGCGCUUCGUUCGGGACGAAGAGGCCGCUGGUUCGAAUCCAGUCUCCCCGACCA